UGGAGAUGGGGUUUCACCAUGUUGGCCAGGAUGGCCUCGAACUGACCCCAAGUGAUCUCUUGGCCUCCCAAAGUGCUGGGAUUACAGGCGUAAGCCACUGUGCCCGGCCAAUUGUCCUCAUUUUUAAACGUGUCCCAUACUAUCACUUCCUGUUUACACCUUUUUAAACUCAUCUACAAAAUGGCAUGAUAUCUGAGUUGAGUAAAUAACUCCUUUUUUUUUU
rnacentral:lncRNA from 10 species